rnacentral:rRNA from 1 species
CAGCAGCCGCGGGAACACAGAGGGUGCGAGCGUUAAUCGGAUUUACUGGGCGUAAAGCGUGCGUAGGCGGCUUCUUAAGUCGGAUGUGAAAUCCCUGAGCUUAACUUAGGAAUUGCAUUCGAUACUGGGAAGCUAGAGUAUGGGAGAGGAUGGUAGAAUUCCAGGUGUAGCGGUGAAAUGCGUAGAGAUCUGGAGGAAUACCGAUGGCGAAGGCAGCCAUCUGGCCUAAUACUGACGCUGAGGUACGAAAGCAUGGGGAGCAAACAGGAUUAGAUACCCCGGUAGUCCCUGUCUCUUAUAC